AUUUCGACGCGACGACGGCGAUUUUCGACGCGACGACACCAAUCAGUCGUUUAAUCGAAGACUUCUCCGCCAAAUCGAAUAUAGACGAGGGGAAAGACGAGUUUCGGUGUGGAAAUCAUUCUCGGUGUCUCCCUAUUCUCUCUCUCUCGACGGCGAUCCAAUCGAAACCAGUUUAUGUGUUGCAUGUAGCAUACUCCAUAAUAUGAUUGUCGAAGAUGAACGAAAUUCAUACACUCAGCAUAACGCUUCAGAAUUUCAACAAGGAGAAGAUGGGGAUCCUACAUUUGUAGUCAGAAGAACUACAAAUCUCGGUAAUACAAUGGGUCGUCGAGCAGAAGUUCGGGAUAGACAAGACCAUCAACAAUUAAAAAAAGAUUUGAUU